CUUUAAACUUACUAACUCUUGCUCUAGCCACAUCUUUAUGAAGGAAGAGUCAGAGAUCAGAGUCUCCAGAACCCAGCGGUGUGUCUGUGAAGAGUAACAGAUCAAAGACGCCACCCCCUGAAUUCAGUGAUGGACCAAUGACCGCUGACCCUCUCAGGAGGGAAAUACAUCAGCCGACCAGAUCUGUGUCAUACUCUGCAUCACACUAUCAGACCCACAUCAGACAAGAAAGAACUGAAGCCACCAUGCAGAAACACACAGUGAAGACUGGAGACCUGCAGAGAGUCAGAGACCAGCACAAAGCCAGUAUGAAGAACAAGUAUGAGAGAAUAUUUGAGGGAACCAAACUCCAAGAGAAUGAAACCCUCCUGAUCAGGAUCUACACACAGCUCUACAUCAUAGAGGGAGAGAGAGAAGGAGUGAAUGAAGAACAUGAGGUUUUACAGAUGGAGAAAACAGCCAGAACACAACACUCACAAGA